rnacentral:lncRNA from 1 species
UUAAUAUUAAAAUACUUGAUUAACAACUAAAUACUACAAUGAAUUGAAAUAUUAAAAAAUAUUAGUAACCAAAAAGCAUUAAUAAUUUAUAUAACAAAUAGUCUCAACUCUCAAAUUACAAUCUCAGAAUUCAAAUUAAAUUUCAAACAUAAGUUCUAACAAUACUUGUUCAAAAUGUAGCAAAAAAAUAACAAACACCGCAUGAUUGAAACUCUUGCUUCCCGCUUCAAUUUCCGUAGCUCCAGCUGUUCUGGAUCAACCAAAAAGAAGUCAUAAAAUAAGUGUCCGAAAUUACCAAAUAAAAAUCAUCAUAUCAAAUUUCUGAAAAAUAUAAACGUUAGGUUGUACUGAUUUGGUCUAGUUUUUCUGUUCAUUUUGUAACAAUAGCACUUAAAUUAAGUAGACAAGCACAUCUGAAAAUGAACAUGAGAAUAGCAAAAAAAGAUUUCAGUCCAAUAUCACAAAAUAGGUUAGAUUAAUAUCUAGAUGUGAGAAACUAAAACUACAUACAGUUUAUCCUAGAAACCUCAUAAUCAAAUUAAACCAGUAAGUGUUGAAUACCACUUCAA